rnacentral:rRNA from 1 species
AUUGAACGCUGGCGGCAUGCCUUACACAUGCAAGUCGAACGGCAGCACGGGAGCAAUCCUGGUGGCGAGUGGCGAACGGGUGAGUAAUAUAUCGGAACGUGCCCAGUCGUGGGGGAUAACGUAGCGAAAGCUACGCUAAUACCGCAUACGAUCUAUGGAUGAAAGCGGGGGAUCGCAAGACCUCGCGCGAUUGGAGCGGCCGAUAUCAGAUUAGGUAGUUGGUGGGGUAAAAGCCUACCAAGCCUUCGAUCUGUAGCUGGUCUGAGAGGACGACCAGCCACACUGGAACUGAGACACGGUCCAGACUCCUACGGGAGGCAGCAGUGGGGAAUUUUGGACAAUGGGCGCAAGCCUGAUCCAGCAAUGCCGCGUGCAGGAUGAAGGCCUUCGGGUUGUAAACGUGCUUUUGUUACGGGUAAGAAACGAACCCCUCCGUCGAGGGGCGUUGACGGUACCGUAA